AUAUAUAUAUAUAUAUAUAUAUUUCUCACUUCAGAUCUUUUCGUUUGAACACAUUUCCAUCCCUGGUCCUCUCCAAAUGUCAUCAUGUCUAAGAUAUAAACACAAAAGUCAUUCUUCUAACUUCUUUCUUUGUUCUCUUUCCCCCCUCCCCCGCCCUCGCCUUCCUUCUACCCCUUCCACCUUCAACUGUUUAAGGCACAAUGCGCCUAUCAAUAAUAUAUGCAAUUCCAUUUUAUAUAUGACGCCACACUAUUUGUGGUCAUUUUACAAACAUGUAUUUUUUUUUUUUUUAAAGCUCUCUUAAAGUAUGGUAGAACUUAUUAUGCUCAUCAUGACUGAAUUAUUAAUCAAAUACAUGACAGGCAAUAACACACAAAAAUAGGCGACGGGCAAUCAGUACCACGCCUCUUUUUUUUUUUUCAUGAACAAAACCUGAACCAUUGUCUGUAUCUAACCAUCUUAUAACUAGAUACGGAACAAUUAGUCAAAACAUUCAUGCAGAUGUAUUGAAAGUAGGUGGGAACAAUGAGAGUAGGAUUGAAUUCUGUGUUGAAAUAUGACAUAUGUAUCUUGAUUUCUUUCUGUCCGACAUGAUCCAUUGUUUGUCCACCUUCACUUUUAGUUCAACUUCUGUUGGAUACUUGGUUCUUUAAUUUCAUCCGUUUGUUUUCCCAACCCAUUUCUUGUACACUCUUUGGUUCAUCUCUUUGUUCUUCGUCUCAAUGUUGUCACUUCAUUUGACAAUGUAUUCCACAUAGCCAUGCAGCCCAUUGUGUUGAACUAUAUACCCUUUUUAUGUGACAUUCUUGGACUUGUUUAGAAUCAAGCGGUACGUUUAUGUUGUCGCCUGUACCCUGUCGCUUCCUUAGGAAGGCAAAACUGUGUUGAUUCAAACGUAGAGCUGUUUUGAAUCCGUCAUAUGUUUACUAGUAGUUGUUUUUUUUCCUUUGAAGAUAUUGUAACCCGAACAAGUUGCUACCAAAAUCAAUACACCAAAUGCUAGUUGAUGGCGAUUUUUUCUUAAUUUUGUGUUUUUAAAUCAAACACCAAUGAAGUGGUUUGGUCUAGUCCUAGAUCUAGAUCUCUUUAGAUUUGACUGUUUGCUUCCCAAGUAGGCGGCUGUUCAUGGUCUAAGUUUCUUUUUAUUUUUUUGACUUUACUUUGUUGAAGAUAUCUCCAUAUUUCUCAAUGUCUAGUCUCUAAAUGCUGUCUCGCUAUUUGAGCUCUUCUUGAAACAACUCAUUCGUAUUCUAUAUAUUGGUUGUUUUAAUAGUUUUCAUAUUGCGUGUUGGAUUCAUUUUUAAUCGUUUGGUGUUUAUUAUAUUAAUUUUUUUUUUCAGCGCCAAAAAAAAAAAAAGAAAAAAAAAAGAAU